UACAGAGGGGGCAAGCGUUGUUCGGAAUUACUGGGCGUAAAGGGCGCGUAGGCGGCCUUCUAAGUCGAACGUGAAAUCCCCGGGCUCAACCCGGGAACUGCGUCCGAUACUGGAAGGCUUGAAUCCGGGAGAGGGAUGCGGAAUUCCAGGUGUAGCGGUGAAAUGCGUAGAUAUCUGGAGGAACACCGGUGGCGAAGGCGGCACUCUGGGCCGGUACUGACGCUGAGGAGCGAAAGCGUGGGGAGCGAACAGG
rnacentral:rRNA from 1 species